GUUUGAUUAGCUCAGAGGUAGAGCAUCCGAGCGCAUCGGUAGGACGUAGGUUCGAUUCUUACAUCAAACG
rnacentral:tRNA from 1 species